rnacentral:miRNA from 2 species
AGGAAAUCUGCUUCUGUUGGUUU